rnacentral:rRNA from 1 species
UAUUGGCCAAUGGUCGGGAGACUGAACCAGCCAAGCCGCGUGAGGGAGGAAGGUACAGAGUAUCGUAAACCUCUUUUGUCAGGGAACAAAGGCGGGGACGUGUCCCCGGAUGAGUGUACCUGAAGAAAAAGCAUCGGCUAACUCCGUGCCCGCGGCCGCGGUAAUACGGCGGAUGCGAGCGUUAUCCGGAUUUAUUGGGUUUAAAGGGUGCGCAGGCGGUCUGUUAAGUCAGCGGUCAAAGCCGGGGGCUCACCCCCGCCCCGCCGUUGAAACUGGCAGUCUCGAGUUGGAGAGAAGUAUGCGGAAUGCGCGGUGUAGCGGUGAAAUGCAUAGAUAUCGCGCAGAACUCCGAUUGCGAAGGCAGCAUGCCGGCUCCACACUGACGCUGAGGCACGAAAGCGUGGGUAUCGAACAGG